GAUGAAGAACGCAGCGAAAUGCGAUACGUAAUGUGAAUUGCAGAAUUCAGUGAAUCAUCGAGUCUUUGAACGCACAUUGCGCCCCCUGGUAUUCCGGGGGGCAUGCCUGUCCGAGCGUCAUUUCAACCCUCAAGCUCUCCGGAGUUUGGUGUUGGGGCGCCUGGGGCUUUUCGACCUCAGGGCCCUCAAGUCCAUCGGCGGGACCGCCAGGACACUGAGCGCAGUAGUAUUAUUUCGCUCGGUAGGAUCUUCCACGGCGGGUCGAUCUGGCCGCUAAACCCCCCAAUUCUCACCAAAGGUUGACCUCGGAUCAGGUAGGAAUACCCGCUGAACUUAAGCAUAUCAAUAAGCGGAGGA
rnacentral:misc_RNA from 1 species